UACAGAGGUCCCAAGCGUUGUUCGGAUUCACUGGGCGUAAAGGGUGCGUAGGUGGCGGGGUAAGUCUGAUGUGAAAUCUCCGAGCUUAACUCGGAAACUGCAUCGGAUACUGCCUUGCUCGAGGGUUGGAGGGGGGACUGGAAUACUUGGUGUAGCAGUGAAAUGCGUAGAUAUCUGGAGGAACACCGGUGGCGAAGGCGGCAUUCUGGACCAAUAUUGACGCUGAGGAGCGAAAGCCAGGGGAGCAAACGGG
rnacentral:rRNA from 1 species